UGAUAAAAAAUGCGGCGUCAGCGAAUUACGUCCCAUCUACGGCCGCGUUGUCGUGAAUAAGAACUAUAACCUUUAACUCGGAAAUGACCAAAACCGGAACAGAAUACGCAAAAACCGCGUAAUUCAAAUAAAUAAAUAGAGCGUAACAUCUCUUUUAUUAUCUUUAAUAUGAUAAUAUUUAAAUGUCUUAAAAAUUAGAAAAUUGAACACAAGUGUUGUCUGGGAAUUAAAUUGACAAUAUAAGUCGACUAAAAGUCGGACAUAAAAAGGCGACUUUUAAUUUCCCGAAAAUAGUUGACUUUAAGUCCACUUACAGUCGACAUUUAAAGUCGACAAAAUUCAUUCGAAAAAUAGUCGACUAAACGUCGACUUCUUAAAGUCGACUUCGAGUCGACUGGAAAAAGUCGACUAUCAGUCGGCAAACAGUCAUUCGUGUUGUGUGGGUUAUGUCUACAACUAUAUGCAGUUCGCGAAUAAAAACGUACUUGCGAUCAUCGUUGGAGGAAGAACGUUUAAAUUCAUUGGCAAUCUUGGUCAUUGAAGCCGAACUUAUGAUGAGCAUAAAAUACGAUGACAUUAUUAAAGAUUUUGCAAAAAUCUCACCAUAAACCACUUGAGUAUUAAAUGUUAAUAUUAUUCGUUACAAAACUUCCAACUUUCCUGUCUACUUAUAUUUCAUUAUUCAUUAAAUAUGUUACAGAUUCCUAUCAUCUCUACAACACUAAAUCUUACUCUCCAAAAUUUGCCACCCCAAAAAAUCUGCCGCCUCCAAAAAUUUUCCCGCCCUACGCUUCAGCGUAGUCAGUGUAUGGAUAAAUCCGCCACUGAUAAAGUCAUAAUAUAUUUCAUAUUAGAAAUACAAAUAUAUGUAUAACAUUUU